UAGGGAAUCUUCGGCAAUGGACGAAAGUCUGACCGAGCAACGCCGCGUGAGUGAAGAAGGUUUUCGGAUCGUAAAACUCUGUUGGUAGAGAAGAACGUUGGUGAGAGUGGAAAGCUCAUCAAGUGACGGUAACUACCCAGAAAGGGACGCUAACUACGUGCCAGCAGCCGCGGUAAUACGUAGGUCCCGAGCGUUGUCCGGAUUUAUUGGGCGUAAAGCGAGCGCAGGUGGUUUAUUAAGUCUGGUGUAAAAGGCAGUGGCUCAACCAUUGUAUGCAUUGGAAACUGGUAGACUUGAGUGCAGGAGAGGAGAGUGGA
rnacentral:rRNA from 1 species